GGCAGCAUGGCCGAGUGGUCUAAGGCGGUAGACUUGAAUAUUUCACAAGAAAUCAGGUAUCUACUCUCUUCGGAGGCGUGUGUUCGAACCACACUGCUGUCG
rfam:TPA: Aspergillus nidulans FGSC A4 chromosome I